rnacentral:rRNA from 2 species
AUGCAGUCGAGCGGAACGAUGGAAGCUUGCUUCCAGGCGUCGAGCGGCGGACGGGUGAGUAAUGCAUAGGAAUCUGCCCGAUAGUGGGGGAUAACCUGGGGAAACCCAGGCUAAUACCGCAUACGCCCUACGGGGGAAAGCAGGGGAUCUUCGGACCUUGCGCUAUCGGAUGAGCCUAUGUCGGAUUAGCUAGUUGGUGGGGUAAAGGCCUACCAAGGCGACGAUCCGUAGCUGGUCUGAGAGGAUGAUCAGCCACAUCGGGACUGAGACACGGCCCGAACUCCUACGGGAGGCAGCAGUGGGGAAUAUUGGACAAUGGGCGCAAGCCUGAUCCAGCCAUGCCGCGUGUGUGAAGAAGGCCUUCGGGUUGUAAAGCACUUUCAGUGAGGAAGAAGGCCUCUGGGUUAAUACCCUGGAGGAAGGACAUCACUCACAGAAGAAGCACCGGCUAACUCCGUGCCAGCAGCCGCGGUAAUACGGAGGGUGCGAGCGUUAAUCGGAAUUACUGGGCGUAAAGCGCGCGUAGGUGGCUUGAUAAGCCGGUUGUGAAAGCCCCGGGCUCAACCUGGGAACGGCAUCCGGAACUGUCAGGCUAGAGUGCAGGAGAGGAAGGUAGAAUUCCCGGUGUAGCGGUGAAAUGCGUAGAGAUCGGGAGGAAUACCAGUGGCGAAGGCGGCCUUCUGGACUGACACUGACACUGAGGUGCGAAAGCGUGGGUAGCAAACAGGAUUAGAUACCCUGGUAGUCCACGCCGUAAACGAUGUCGACUAGCCGUUGGGCUCCUUGAGAGCUUUGUGGCGCAGUUAACGCGAUAAGUCGACCGCCUGGGGAGUACGGCCGCAAGGUUAAAACUCAAAUGAAUUGACGGGGGCCCGCACAAGCGGUGGAGCAUGUGGUUUAAUUCGAUGCAACGCGAAGACCCUUACCUA